UGCAAGGUAAAAACUUCGAAGAGAAAAACGGCAUGCCUAAUUUAAAAAUCUCUAAAGCCCCCACUAGAGAUAGCUACGAGCCAGGUUUGGGAAAGAUGAAAGAAAAGACUUAUAAGUACUCUGCAACAGUGGAACGUUAGUGCUUUUGUGUGUAAAGAAUUAUCGAAGGCUCCAAGUAAAAAAAGGCCCCGAAAAAAUCAAG